rnacentral:rRNA from 1 species
CGGAUUGGAGGCUGAAACCCGCCUCCAUGAAGUUGGAUUCGCUAGUAAUCGCGCAUCAGCCAUGGCGCGGUGAAUACGUUCCCGGGCCUUGUACACACCGCCCGUCAAGCCAUGGGAGCCGGGGGUACCUGAAGUGCGUAACCGCGAGGAGCGCCCUAGGGUAAAACUGGUGACUGGGGCUAAGUCGUAACAAGGUAGC